GGGAGAGAGAGGAGCGAGAAACAGCCCUGCAGACCCCAAGCUUACCAAUACUUCUAUUAAAAAUCCAGGGAGAAUUUUACAAGAGUUAUAUGGGAGCUAGGCAUCCAGCUUAACUGCCUAUCCAAGUUGAUUUGAACCUUGCCAUGAGACUACCUAAAGGAACCUUGAUAUUUAUCUCAUUUCAAUAAAAAUAAGCAAUGAAGGAAAAACAGCAACUGAAGAAA